rnacentral:rRNA from 1 species
GACGAACGCUGGCGGCGUGCUUAACACAUGCAAGUCGAACGGAAAGGCCUCUUUCGGGGGGUACUCGAGUGGCGAACGGGUGAGUAACACGUGAGUAACCUGCCCUUGACUUUGGGAUAACUUCAGGAAACUGGGGCUAAUACCGGAUAGGAGCUCCUGCUGCAUGGUGGGGGUUGGAAAGUUUCGGCGGUUGGGGAUGGACUCGCGGCUUAUCCGCUUGUUGGUGGGGUAGUGGCUUACCAAGGCUUUGACGGGUAGCCGGCCUGAGAGGGUGACCGGCGACAUUGGGACUGAGAUACGGCCCAGACUCCUACGGGAGGCAGCAGUGGGGAAGAUUGAAGAAGGGGUGGAAGCCUGAUGCAGCAACGCCGUGUGCGGGAUGACGGCCUUCGGGUUGUAAACCGCUUUCGCUCAUGACGAAGCUUUGUGUGACGGUAGUGGGUAAAGAAGCACCGGCUAACUACGUG